rnacentral:rRNA from 1 species
GAUGAACGCUGGCGGCGUGCCUAAUACAUGCAAGUCGAGCGAACAGACGAGGAGCUUGCUCCUCUGACGUUAGCGGCGGACGGGUGAGUAACACGUGGAGAACCUACCUAUAAGACUGGGAUAACUUCGGGAAACCGGAGCUAAUACCGGAUAAUAUAUUGAACCGCAUGGUUCAAUAGUGAAAGACGGUUUUGCUGUCACUUAUAGAUGGAUCCGCGCCGCAUUAGCUAGUUGGUAAGGUAACGGCUUACCAAGGCAACGAUGUGUAGCCGACCUGAGAGGAUGGUCCGCCACACUGGGACCGAGACACGGCCCAGACUCCGCCGGUAGGCAGCAGUGGGGAAGUUUGGACAAUUGGGGCAACCCGGAUCCAGCCAUGCCGCGUGUAUGAAGAAGGCCUAAGGCUUGUAAAGUACUUUUGUGAGGGAAAAAAAGACAGCUGUGAAUAAUGGCUGAUACGGACGGUACCUAAUGAAUAAGCACCGGCUAACUACGUG